GCGCUGCCCGCCCGCCCGCAUGGAGACCGCCGCCCGUAGCGGGGCUGCCGCGCCGCGCCGCACCGCGGGGGUUAGGAAUGUUUUGGAACAGGAGGUCAGAAGAAGGGCAAUACAAAGUAAAGGAGCUUCAUGUAGACCGCUUAAAGAAGUUGACCGUGAUGGAAAAGAAGGGGGUAUCCCAUGUAACAAGAGAUCCGAUCAACAGUCAUCUGGCAGAGGACCGAAGGGAUGUCUUCUGUUCUAAAAAUAGCUAAGAAGUCAUACUGUUCACGUGGGAAGAGCAGGCUGCCCUUCACCCGCCCCCUUCAGCACCAUCAGAACUGGGUAGCUAAGUGAAUCACAAAAGCCUUUACUGUUUUCCUCCCAAGUACCUGUACCACCCCUCCUUGGCCGAGCGUUUGUUUUCUUUUUCACAAACGUUAGUCCCACAGCUAAAUCCCAGGAUCUUCCAGGACCUCAAGGAUGGGUUGGCCAUCGCUGUAUCCUGCCACAGGUAACAGUGCUCCCUCCAGCCAGGACUGCCCCAGCUGCGGUCCCCAGCACUGGACUUAGCCAGCCCCUUUCUGAGGGAGGCAGGAGAAGCAGGUGCCUCCUGUGCAGCCUGCCAAAACGGGGCUGGCUCUGCAGGGCUAAAAACGGGUGCUGGUUUUCAGUCAGCAACGGCAAGCGUGAAUUCACUCACAAAGUUUCUCUCUUAUUUGAGAGAUGCUGUGCUGUUAGGAUACCGCUCAGAAUAACAUUCGAUCAGAAUCUCGCCCUCAAAUGUCAAUACAUUAGGCUGGAGCUACAAGAGCGCGGGUAACCACUCGUACUGCAAACGUACAAUAGAAGUUAAUUCUCUGUCGAGCGCUGCGAGUGACAUAGUCUGUAACAUUUCCUUAAGUCAGUGACCAUGACCUUGGGAUGCAUACCAGUUAAAAAUAAGGUUUUACAAAUGCUUGGAAAUGCUAAGUGUUUCCCAUUACGUGGUUCAUUCAAAGCACUUAACGACUUUUCAAGUCCAUGUCAGUAGCUAUAUGAGACCAAAAAAUCCUCAUGGAGUCAUCUGGGAAAACGCAGAAGAAAAAAGCACAUCUGUCUUGUUUUAGCUUCCAACCUUGGAUCUGGAUUUUCUAAUUCUUCUUUUUCUGGGAAGGAAGGGGAAAAAAAGAAAGAAGAGUUUCUGCAGAAGCAUACAUCUCCUUCAGAACAGAAGCGUGUGCCCACUUGUGCAUACGCCUUUUUAUCAGUGUCCAGGUAUAAAAAUGACAAGAGGUAAGAAAAAGAUCUGCAGCCAUUUCUUUCUGCCUUCUGUGAUCUGCUGUCUGGCUUGGACCGUGCUUUGCAGGCUUGGAAAAAGACCAAAGAGGUGCCAAAGGAAAAAUAUAUGAAAAUGCAAGGUGUUGUUAUAGGUACCGUGAAGUGGGUCUGAAACAAAAACAUAGAAAGGCUAACAUUGCAGUGAAGUGUUCAGAAUUAGUUUCCUCGUUUACGCUGGGGUGGAUUCAGAGGAACUUGUAAUUACCAGUUUCCUCAGCAGUGAGACGCGAGGAAAUCCUAACAGCGUUGGAGUAAAGGACGAAAUUAUUGCAGACCGCAACUCCUUUACCAGUGGUUUCUCAAGGACGAGGGAAGGGCAUGUUCAUCACACCACGGGCCUUGUGCUUCCCUCUGCUGUGCGACCAAGAGAAAAGCACGGGCGUGCAGAAACCGUUUCCCGAGAUCCCGAUCGUCUGAAACGGUACUGUGGGCCUCUCUGGAGUGUACGGCCCUAGCAUCAACACUGUUUAUAAGACAAAUCUUAUAAAAAGGUCCAUUUUAGACGGAUGAGACAUUUUGUACUGAAAAAAAAAAUUUUUGACUUUGUACAA